UACAGAGGGGGCAAGCGUUAUUCGGAAUUAUUGGGCGUAAAGAGCUCGUAGGCGGUCUGUUGCGUCGGCUGUGAAAACCCGAGGCUCAACCUCGGGCCUGCAGCCGAUACGGGCAGACUAGAGUUCGGCAGGGGAGACUGGAAUUCCUGGUGUAGCGGUGAAAUGCGCAGAUAUCAGGAGGAACACCGGUGGCGAAGGCGGGUCUCUGGGCCGAUACUGACGCUGAGGAGCGAAAGCGUGGGGAGCGAACAGG
rnacentral:rRNA from 1 species